AAAGAAGUAAGUCAGUAAAAGAUGGAACAAAAAGGAACCCCCCAAAAGCAUAAGAUUAAAAAGCAUAAAAUAAAACCAUGCAAUGGACCAAAUAUAGUGUUAUGAGAGUAACUAUGAGCAGCUUAAAUUCCUUGAUCAAAAGAUUUAUCUAUUUAUUUGGGAGAGAGAAAGAAAAAAGAGAAAGAAAGAAAGAAGAAAGAAGAAAGAAAGAAAGGAAGAAAGAAAGAAAGAAAGAAAGAAAGAAAGAAAGAAAGAAAGAAAGAAAAGAAAAAGAAAAGUGCGAGUGGGGGGAGGGGAGGGCAGAGGGAGAGAGUUUCAAGCAAAGUCCUUGCUGAGCACGGAGCUCAUCCCAGAACUUAAUCUCAUGACCCAUGAGAUCAUGGCCUGAUCUAAAACCAACAGUUGAUGCUUAACCAACUGGCCCAUCCAGGCACCCCUAAAAUGCUAAUUUUUAAGUAUCUUUGCAUUUAGAGGACAUACAGAUUUUCAAUCUGGUGACACAAAAUAUAUUUAAAUAAUACAGAUUUUAUAAAUUAAUGCACAAUGCAUUUUUUCCUACUAUUCUUUAAUUUUUCCUGUCUUCUUACUUAACAGUUUUUAAUGGGUUAUGUUUUGGAUGAGUAGCAGACUCAGGAGAGACACCAUUUGAGGCAAACUGCUUUAAAGCUUUUUAGCAUUACCCUGAGGAAAUCACAAAAGUCACAAUGAUAUCAAGUAUUAAAUCUAGAUUAGUACUUGGCUGUGGGUUUAUGUUGGGCUAUAUUUUUUAAGUGGAAUAUGUUCUUCCUCCUUGCUUAAUGAAAAAUUUUUACGGUAUCCUGAGUACCAAUUCUAAAUAGAAGCUUAAAUUAAAAAGAAAAAAAAAUUAGUUAAGAAUAACUGAAAUCAGUAUCAUUAUUUUAUUUUACUUAACUAAAAACAGUUAAAUUUUAAUUAAUAUCAUAUUUUGGAAAGAUAAGCAUUAAAUUCUAAUGAAACCGUGUACAUGUGUAUAAUUACUAUUCAAAUUUGCACACAACUACUGGUAAAAUCGCUGUAAUUGUGUUUGCACAUGUGGCUGAAAUAGCUCAAUGCCUAAUAAAAGGCCAUUUUCACAAUUUAAAAAAUGUUUU
rnacentral:lncRNA from 1 species